UCAGGAUGAACGCUAGCUACAGGCUUAACACAUGCAAGUCGAGGGGCAGCAUGUUGGUUGCUUGCAACCAAUGAUGGCGACCGGCGCACGGGUGAGUAACGCGUAUCCAACCUUCCCCAUAGUAGAGGAUAGCCCGGCGAAAGUCGGAUUAAUACUCUAUGUUGUGUCAUGAGGACAUCUGAAUAACACCAAAGAUUUAUCGCUAUGGGAUGGGGAUGCGUCUGAUUAGCUUGUCGGCGGGGUAACGGCCCACCGAGGCAACGAUCAGUAGGGGUUCUGAGAGGAAGGUCCCCCACAUUGGUACUGAGACACGGACCAAACUCCUACGGGAGGCAGCAGUGAGGAAUAUUGGUCAAUGGACGAGAGUCUGAACCAGCCAAGUAGCGUGCAAGGAUGACUGCCCUAUGGGUUGUAAACUGCUUUUAUGCGGGAAUAAAGUCAGGUACGUGUACCUGUUUGUAUGUACCGCAUGAAUAAGGACCGGCUAAUUCCGUGCCAGCCGCAGC
rnacentral:rRNA from 1 species